GCUUGCUGCUGAUCCAGGAAUUGUUGCAAUCAUGAAUAAGCAUCGCUGGCACGUAGGAAUCAUGACAGAGAUGGCACCAGAAGGCUAUGUUGGUGUUAGUCCUGAAUGCAUUCUUGGCUUCAAUAAGAAUCACGGCGAGGAGAUAUCACUACGUCUUCGUACAGAUGACCUCAAGGGUUUUAGGAAGUAUGAUAGCAUCAAGAAGACACUCUUGCAUGAACUUUCACACAUGGUACAUUCUGAACAUGACAUGAACUUCUAUGCUCUGCUUAAGCAGCUUAAUGAAGAAGCUGAUAAGUUGGACUGGACUAAAUCAAGAGGUCAUAGUUUGAGUGGUCACAGUUUG
rnacentral:misc_RNA from 1 species